GGCAGGAGAGGAGGGAAAGGAGCUUGUUCCCUCCUGUUUUCUUCCUGUUUCUGUCUCACAGCCUCAGCAACAGCCCUUUCGUUCUAAUUUUUUCCUACCCUUCCAGAUCCAACCCAGACACCAGUUUUCCUGGCUAAACCCUAAUAUUUAGUAUAUCAGCUAAAAUAUGCUCCGAUGCAAGUAUCAGAUACCCAGCUGUUGUUGGAUUAAACCAUUAGGAUAUUUACAGUUUACUCAAGAAAAGAUCUGGAGAUUAACAGUCUGAAGGGAAAGAUGGUUCCAAGGAACAUCGUCCCGAUAUGCUGACUGCACGGGCCGUCGCGGCCGCUGGAAAAGGCGCCGGUCUCGGCGGAUCAGACCUUUAGUGAGAGUUUCCGCUCUUCCGGGCCUCACCUGUGCGGAGUCCACCUGCAGCGCACGUGGCGACAGACAGAAAUUGAAUUUUCCACAGGAUGCUCAUGGGGAGGCUCAUUCCUCGGACAGACAGUUCACUCCAACUCCCCUGGGUGUCACCCUGAGCCACGGCUCCCACGUUUUGGGGCCCGAGGGAGUUUCCCGCUGGAGGAGUCAGGACCCGUCCCAUCUGCAGAGCUCCGGACUCGGUUGCUUUGAGGUGAAGCCAGGAAAUUGCAUUUUUGGUAAGCACUAUGCAAGCGUCUCUUGCGGGUGGUUCUCAGCUGUAGUUUAAGACAUGUGGCCACUGCACAGAGUCCCUUCUCCCUUCGCUGAAUCUCCCCAAGGGCUGUGGCAAGGACGCCAAGUGCGAAUGCAGCGACUGAGCGCGUGGCUUCAUUCCGGCAGAUCUCGCUGCUCCGAGCUUCCUCCUGUCCACCCCUUAGACGCCAUGUCAGCUCCCAGGGCACAUGGUCCCUAACCCACUGCAAGGGAGGACCCUCGUUUUCCUGUGUUCUCCCUCCCACAGUGCUUCUUGUGUCUCUGCGAAGGUGGGUGCCAGCCAUGCAAGGUCACACGUUGGCUCUCCCUGUCCCAGCAGCAGAAAUGAUAACGCCUUCCUCUGCAUGUCCUCCAGUGCCUAGUGUGACGAUGGACUUUAUAAAUAUUCCUGAGCAGCUGCGUUACAUAUUUAUUAAGUACUUACCUUGCUGCAGGCCCUGGGCUAGCUGCUAGUGCAGAGAAGAAACAAGGCAGAUGAAUCAUUUUAACCCAGAUUGAUAAAUGGAACUUUUAAGUACAAAGCAUCAAACCUAUUAGAGUGGCAAAGAUUGGGAAAAAGGAAAAUACCCAGCUUUGACAGAGGUGAGGGGGAACUCCCACAAUGUGUGUAGGACUAAAUUGGUAGGACUGUUCUGGAGGCAAGCUGGCAGUAUGAGAAUAAAAUAAAAGUGCCUGUUCCCUUUGAUCCUAAAAUUCUAGUUCUAGGAACUUUUCCUAAGGAAAUAAUAGAAUGAGGAUGCGAAUCUGUUCGAGUUAUUCCCCUAACAUCUACUGAGAACCUACUGUGCACAGGGCAGGUGCUCUAGGUCCUGGGACCAGAGUGUGAAUCGAAUGGGCAGGAGGACGUCAGAGUGUGGGUUGGGUCCAGACAGGAUCACCUUGGUGGCGUCUAUAAGAGCAAAAUGCCGGCAGCAACCUAAGAUCAAUACAUUUUGCUAUGGCCAUGUAACAGCCCACUGAGAAGUUAUUAAAAAUGUUGAUGCGUAUCUACAGUCAUUGUGGGAAGAAGCUCUCUCU